rnacentral:rRNA from 1 species
AUUGAACGCUGGCGGCAGGCUUAACACAUGCAAGUCGAGCGGAGAUGAGGUGCUUGCACCUUAUCUUAGCGGCGGACGGGUGAGUAAUGCUUAGGAAUCUGCCUAUUAGUGGGGGACAACAUUCCGAAAGGAAUGCUAAUACCGCAUACGUCCUACGGGAGAAAGCAGGGGAUCUUAGGACCUUGCGCUAAUAGAUGAGCCUAAGUCGGAUUAGCUAGUUGGUGGGGUAAAGGCCUACCAAGGCGACGAUCUGUAGCGGGUCUGAGAGGAUGCACCGCCACACUGGGACUGGGACACGGCCCAGACUCCUACGGGAGGCAGCAGUGGGGAAUAUUGGACAAUGGGGGGAACCCUGAUCCAGCCAUGCCGCGUGUGUGAAGAAGGCCUUAUGGUUGUAAAGCACUUUAAGCGAGGAGGAGGCUACUGAGAUUAAUACUCUUGGAUAGUGGACGUUACUCGCAGAAUAAGCACCGGCUAACUCUGUGCCAGCCGCCGCCAUAACAC